CUGGACCGGAGACAGGUGCUGCAUGGCUGUCGUCAGCUCGUGUCGUGAGAUGUUGGGUUAAGUCCCGCAACGAGCGCAACCCUCGCCCUUAGUUGCCAUCAUUUAGUUGGGCCCUCUAAGGGGACUGCCGGUGAUAAGCCGCGAGGAAGGUGGGGAUGACGUCAAGUCCUCAUGGCCCUUACGGGCUGGGCUACACACGUGCUACAAUGGCGGUGACAGUGGGAUGCAAUGGAGCAAUCCUGCGCAAAUCUCAAAAAGCCGUCUCAGUUCGGAUUGUGCUCUGCAACUCGAGCACAUGAAGUUGGAAUCGCUAGUAAUCGCAGAUCAGCACGCUGCGGUGAAUACGUUCCCGGGCCUUGUACACACCGCCCGUCACACCAUGGGAGUUGGCUUUACCUGAAGACGGUGCGCUAACCGCAAGGAGGCAGCCGGCCACGGUAGGGUCAGCGACUGGGGUGAAGUCGUAACA
rnacentral:rRNA from 1 species